UAGGGAAUCUUCGGCAAUGGACGAAAGUCAGACCGAGCAACGCCGCGUGAGUGAAGAAGGUUUUCGGAUCGUAAAACUCUGUUGGUAGAGAAGAACGUUGGUGAGAGUGGAAAGCUCAUCAAGUGACGGUAACUACCCAGAAAGGGACGGCUAACUACGUGCCAGCAG
rnacentral:rRNA from 1 species